rnacentral:rRNA from 1 species
UGGGGAAUUUUGGACAAUGGGGGAAACCCUGAUCCAGCCAUCCCGCGUGUGCGAUGAAGGCCUUCGGGUUGUAAAGCACUUUUGGCAGGAAAGAAACGUCAUGGGUUAAUACCCCGUGAAACUGACGGUACCUGCAGAAUAAGCACCGGCUAACUACGUGCCAGCAGCCGCGGUAAUACGUAGGGUGCAAGCGUUAAUCGGAAUUACUGGGCGUAAAGCGUGCGCAGGCGGUUCGGAAAGAAAGAUGUGAAAUCCCAGGGCUCAACUUUGGAACUGCAUUUUUAACUACCGGGCUAGAGUGUGUCAGAGGGAGGUGGAAUUCCGCGUGUAGCAGUGAAAUGCGUAGAUAUGCGGAGGAACACCGAUGGCGAAGGCAGCCUCCUGGGAUACCACUGACGCUCAUGCACGAAAGCGUGGGGAGCAAACAGG